AAAUGACGUCCUCAGUCACGUAUAUAUGUAUGUUUGUACUGGCCACCUCCGUAUGUCUGUCCAGUGUCUCUGAUGCGUAUAUAGACUGCUCCAUGGAAUGCCUCUUUGCAAAAUUUCGACAGCCUACAGUUUGUGAAUGCAAUAACAAUGUCAAGUCGCACUGGGGGAAGCGCGCACCGAGGACACAAACGCACAGUGGUCUGCCUACGUUUAGAUACGGAAAACGAUCGGCUUCUUUGACGACUCUGAUUUAGAGGGCAUGGACAGAUUUGAUGAACUCAGUGCAAUACAGGACGAAUUCUACCCGGGCCUAGACACUCGGAAGUGAUCGUGAAACGACCAUGCGCUCGGCUCGUGUUCUUCGAGUCAUGGCAUCAACAAAUUGAAAUAUUAAAUAGGCAAUAGAGACACAUGGCGCUUUGUUUAAGUUUUCCAUAGCAAUAGAGAAACAUGGCGCUUUGUUUAAGUUUUCCAUAAGUCAAUAGAGACACAUGGCGCUUUGUUUCAGUUUUCCAUAAGUCAUUUUUGAUGUUUUCUUAUAUUAUUUAGAAUACUACUAGUAUACUACUACUAUUCACUGUAGUAUAUAUUUCUGCACGAUUCUAAUUAUUUAGAUAAAUACAUGAUUAAACAAUAGUAACAAUUGUUUUUAAUAAUGAUUCAUCAAUUUCAAGAAUGUGUGAAACUUUAACUGUUUUUUUAAAUAAACCACACGGAAUAUAUUUAUAUUAAUCAAACACCUUACAUCUUCUUUAUUUGGAGGGCGUAAAAAUACUAAGUAUUGCAUAUUGUAAAUCUUUGCCGUUUCCUUUUUAAUAUGGCAAAGCGAUUUUCUGUAUUUAUAAUUGAAGUAUAUACUAUCAUGGUGUACAUUUGUUUCAUUUUUAUUUAUAUUUUUAAUUUAUUCAAAGAUAUAAAAACAAUUAUUGAAAUAACAUACACAAUGAUUCUUGUUAUAUGUUAGUAAAUCUUCGUAUAACUUAAACAAUAAACACUCAAAUGCCUA